rnacentral:rRNA from 1 species
CUUUACUGCAGCUUUGCAGUGGCAUUAGGAGAGGGCUGUGUAGGAUAGGUGGGAGGCUUUGAAGCCUGGGCGCUAGCUUGGGUGGAGCCAACCUUGAAAUACCACCCUGACCUCUUCUGAUGUCUAACCGCGAUCGGUCAUCCCGAUCCGGGACCCUGCAUGGUGGGCAGUUUGACUGGGGCGGUCGCCUCCCAAAUAGUAACGGAGGCGCGCGAUGGUGGGCUCAAGCCGGUCGGACAUCGGCUGUUGAGUGCAAUGGCAUAAGCCCGCCUGACUGCGAGAGUGACAGCUCGAGCAGAGACGAAAGUCGGCCAUAGUGAUCCGGUGGUCCCGCGUGGAAGGGCCAUCGCUCAACGGAUAAAAGGUA